GCUUGCUCCACCGAAAGAAAAAGAGUGGCGAACGGGUGAGUAACACGUGGGUAACCUGCCCAUCAGAAGGGGAUAACACUUGGAAACAGGUGCUAAUACCGUAUAACACUAUUUUCCGCAUGGAAGAAAGUUGAAAGGCGCUUUUGCGUCACUGAUGGAUGGACCCGCGGUGCAUUAGCUAGUUGGUGAGGUAACGGCUCACCAAGGCAACGAUGCAUAGCCGACCUGAGAGGGUGAUCGGCCACACUGGGACUGAGACACGGCCCAGACUCCUACGGGAGGCAGCAGUAGGGAAUCUUCGGCAAUGGACGAAAGUCUGACCGAGCAACGCCGCGUGAGUGAAGAAGGUUUUCGGAUCGUAAAACUCUGUUGUUAGAGAAGAACAAGGAUGAGAGUAAAAUGUUCAUCCCUUGACGGUAUCUAACCAGAAAGCCACGGCUAACUACGUGCCAGCAGCCGCGGUAAUACGUAGGUGGCAAGCGUUGUCCGGAUUUAUUGGGCGUAAAGCGAGCGCAGGCGGUUUCUUAAGUCUGAUGUGAAAGCCCCCGGCUCAACCGGGGAGGGUCAUUGGAAACUGGG
rnacentral:rRNA from 1 species